UACGGAGGUGGCAAGCGUUGCUCGGAAUCACUGGGCGUAAAGGGCGCGUAGGCGGGGAGGUAAGUCGGGUGUGAAAUCCCUCGGCUUAACCGAGGAACUGCCCUCCAAACUGCUUUGCUUGAGGCCGGGAGAGGUGAGUGGAAUUCCCAGUGUAGCGGUGAAAUGCGUAGAUAUCUGGAGGAACACCGGUGGCGAAGGCGGCACUCUGGGCCGAUACUGACGCUGAGGAGCGAAAGCGUGGGGAGCGAACAGG
rnacentral:rRNA from 1 species